CGGGAACAGCGUCGCUGCAGCAGGUGAAGAGCUGAUCAGACAGAGAGGGAACUCUUCAUGUAUUUAUGUACUCAGAGUUUGGAGAAACAAACUACAUGUAUCUGAAUAUACACCGAUACAAUCUGCGUAUCUCUCUCCUCUCCGACAGAGAGUUUGACAAUCAUCCGUCUCCUGUCAAUUACAGUCUGAAUGUCUGCGCGGGAUUGCAGGACCACAGAUUAGGAGCCAUGAUCACAGAUGUCUUGGCCUUAAGACAAAGGACACAUGGAAAAUGUGCAAUAUUGUGGGGCUUCAGGAACAGGGUUGGGAAUCACUGCACUUGAACACUGACUGAAACAGGAAAAACUGAGGCGUGGAAAAAUCCAUUCUUAAUGUAAAUAUUUGUUUGUGUUUUCCCUCUCCGUCUUGACAACACACUAUUCCCACUGAUAUCAAUGGAUUUUCAGAGUUCUCUCACGCUUCAUGUGCUUGACUCACCAUGGCUUAGCUGAGAGCAUGUUUUCUGUUUCUUUCUCUCACACACAUACUGUAGGAAAGGAACAGGAAACAGGAGAUUCUUACAUUCUUGUUUAUUCCUGUAAAAUGACUGAAUGUGUUUGUAAUUAUUCAUUUUUUUAGUCUGUCGUGUAAAACAAAGCCUUUAAGCCUUUACUAAGCAGAAGUGACGUGGUUUCUCUCAGCAAUGUGUGGUGCUAAUACACAAAUGCUUACCUAUCACCGACCACCUUUACAUUUCUGAAAAUCAGUUCAAACAAAAGCAGAGAAACAGUUUGAUAUGUAUGAACCCAGCAAUCUGUCAGAAUUCAGAGUAGUUUUUAUUAUUACACUAAUUAGCCAUUAAUAUUAAUAUUAAGCACUACCACAUGCCCAUCAUUUGUUUAUUGUUUCCAUUUUCUUUGUCUUUGCGUGGUUGAUAUUGUAUGUUUGAUAAUUUGUCUCUGAAUUAAAUUAAAUUCAUCCAGUUUAAGUAAAUAUUUAAAUGUUCAGUAACAAUUUCCAGUAAGGUUCAGGUUGGUAAUACAAGGUAUCUUGAACCAACAAUAAGUUUUACCAAUUGCUCGGACAUGUUUGGAAACAUUACUAUUCUGAAUGUUUUUGAAAUAAGUUUCUUAUGCUCAUCAAGCCUGCAUUUAUUUGAUCAAAAAUACUGAAAAAAUGUAAUAUUGUGAUUAUAUU